GCGCCCCCGCCGCCGCCGAGACGCCCUGCGCCUUCGCCUUCUCCUUCUCCGCCCCCGGGCCGGGGCCCGCGCCGCCGCCCCCGCUGCCCGCCUUCCCCGAGGCGCCCGGCUCCGAGCCCAUCUGCUGUCCGCUGGCCUUCAGGGUGGACCCGUUCACCGACUACGGCUCCUCGCUCACCGUCACGCUACCGCCCGAGCUGCAGGCGCACCAGCCCUUCCAGGUCAUCCUGCGGUACACCUCGACUGACGCCCCCGCCAUCUGGUGGCUGGACCCAGAGCUGACCUAUGGCUGCGCCAAGCCCUUCGUCUUCACCCAGGGCCACUCCGUGUGCAACCGCUCCUUCUUCCCAUGCUUCGACACGCCUGCCGUGAAGUGCACCUACUCUGCCGUCGUCAAGGCGCCAUCAGGGGUGCAGGUGCUGAUGAGUGCCACCCGGAGUGCAUACAUGGAGGAAGAAGGCGUCUUCCACUUCCACAUGGAGCACCCCGUGCCCGCCUACCUCGUGGCCCUGGUGGCCGGAGACCUCAAGCCGGCAGACAUUGGGCCCAGGAGCCGCGUGUGGGCCGAGCCGUGCCUCCUGCCCACGGCCACCAGCAAGCUGUCGGGCGCAGUGGAGCAGUGGCUGAGUGCAGCUGAGCGGCUGUAUGGGCCCUACAUGUGGGGCAGGUAGGCCCCGGGGACCUGUGGACCUGGCUGGCUGGAAGGAGGAGUCAGAGGGGGAGCCCCUCGUCUGACCCCUGGGGUGUCCUGUCCCCAUCUCCUGGGGAGGAAGCGGAGCUCACUGCAGGGGCUAGGCUGAUCCCUGCUGGGUGGAAGGUGGGGUGUGGGUGUGCGGGGCGGGAGUCUGAGCCCCAAGGUCUGCCACCCUCACCGCCCUCCUGGUGCAGGUACGACAUUGUCUUCCUGCCACCCUCCUUCCCCAUCGUGGCCAUGGAGAACCCCUGCCUCACCUUCAUCAUCUCCUCCAUCCUGGAGAGCGAUGAGUUCCUGGUCAUCGAUGUCAUCCACGAGGUGGCCCACAGCUGGUUCGGCAACGCUGUCACCAAUGCCACGUGGGAAGAGAUGUGGCUGAGCGAGGGCCUGGCCACCUAUGCCCAGCGCCGCAUCACCACCGAGACCUAUGGUGCGGCUGGGGCUGGGGAGGGCAGCCACUGGGGGCCCUGGGCACUGAGCCAGGGGCAGAGAGCCUAGCCUGGCUCCCCUGCCAUGCUGCAGGUACCCACACCUCCUGCUUCCCCCGACUCCCCCCACACCCCCUCACCUCCCCUCUGUCUCUGGACCCCAUCCAGGUGCUGCCUUCACCUGCCUGGAGACUGCCUUCCGCCUGGACGCCCUGCACCGGCAGAUGAAGCUUCUGGGAGAGGACAGCCCGGUCAGCAAACUGCAGGUCAAGCUGGAGCCAGGAGUGAAUCCCAGCCACCUGAUGAACCUGUUCACCUACGAGAAGGGCUACUGCUUCGUGUACUACCUGUCCCAGCUCUGCGGAGACCCACAGCGCUUUGAUGACUUUCUCCGAGCCUACGUGGAGAAGUACAAGUUCACCAGCGUGGUGGCCCAGGACCUGCUGGACUCCUUCCUGAGCUUCUUCCCGGAGCUGAAGGAGCAGAGCGUGGACUGCCGGGCAGGGCUGGAAUUCGAGCGCUGGCUCAAUGCCACAGGCCCGCCGCUGGCUGAGCCGGACCUGUCUCAGGGAUCCAGCCUGACCCGGCCCGUGGAGGCCCUUUUCCAGCUGUGGACUGCAGAACCUCUGGACCAGGCAGCUGCCUCGGCCAGCGCCAUUGACAUCUCCAAGUGGAGGACCUUCCAGACAGCACUCUUCCUGGACCGGCUCCUGGAUGGGUCCCCACUGCCACAGGAGGUGGUGAUGAGCCUGUCCAAGUGCUACUCCUCCCUGCUGGACUCGAUGAACGCUGAGAUCCGCAUCCGCUGGCUGCAGAUCGUGGUCCGCAACGACUACUAUCCUGACCUCCACAGGGUGCGGCGCUUCCUGGAGAGCCAGAUGUCACGCAUGUACACCAUCCCGCUGUACGAGGACCUCUGCACUGGUGCCCUCAAGUCCUUCGCGCUGGAGGUCUUCUACCAGACGCAGGGCCGGCUGCACCCCAACCUGCGCAGAGCCAUCCAGCAGAUCCUGUCCCAGGGCCUGGGCUCCAGCACAGAGCCCGCCUCAGAGCCCAGCACAGAGCUGGGCAAGGCUGAAGCAGACACAGACUCAGACGCACAGGCCCUGCUGCUUGGGGAUGAGGCCCCCAGCAGUGCCAUCUCUCUCAGGGACGUCAAUGUGUCUGCCUAGCCCUGUUGGCGGGCUGACCCUCGACCUCCCAGACACCACAAUUGUGCCUUCUGUGGGCCAGGCCUGCCAUGACUGCGCCUCGGCUCUGGCCAUGAGCUCUGCCCAGGCCCACGAGCCCCUCCCCUGGGCUCUCCCAGGCAGGGAGAAUGGGGAGAGGGACCUCCUUGUGUCUGGCAGAGACCUGUGGACCUGGCCUCCCCACUCCCAGCUCUCUUGCACUGCAGGCCCUGGGGCCAGCCCGCACACGCCAUGCCUCCUGUCUCAACACUGACAGCUGUGCCUAGUCCCGGACGCCAGCACCUGCCAGGUGCCGCCCCUGGGGCAAGGGCCCCAGCAGCCCUAUGGUGACCGCCACACUGUGCCUUAAUGUCUGCCGGGGGCCCAGGCUGUGCUGUCCCUGCAGCACGCCUCCUUGCAGGGAUCUGAGCCACCCUCCCCGCACAGCCCUGCACCCCGCCCCUGGGGUUGGCAGCCUCAGUUGGCCCCUGGCAGAGGAACAAGGACACAGACAUUCCCUCAGUGUGGGGGCAGGGGACACAGGGAGAGGAUGGUUGUCCCUGGGGAGGGCCCUCUGGCCCCAGGCAACCUUAGCCCCUCAGAACAGGGAGUCCCAGGACCCAGGGAGAGUGUGGGGACAGGACAGCCUGUCUCUUGCAGCUUCCUGGGGCGGGAGGCACAUGGGCAAAGCAAUACCCCAGGGAAAGUGGGAGGUGGUGCUGGUGCUCUCUCUAGGCCCACCAUGCUGGGAGAGGCGGCCGGGGCCUGGGGCCUCCAGCCUGGGACUGCUGUGAUGGGGUAUCACGGUGAUGGUCCCAUUAAACUUCCACUCUGCAAA
rnacentral:sRNA from 1 species